rnacentral:rRNA from 1 species
UACGUAGGGUGCAAGCGUUGUCCGGAAUUAUUGGGCGUAAAGAGCUCGUAGGCGGUUUGUCGCGUCUGGUGUGAAAACUGGAGGCUCAACCUCCAGCCUGCAGUGGGUACGGGCAGACUAGAGUGCGGUAGGGGAGAUUGGAAUUCCUGGUGUAGCGGUGGAAUGCGCAGAUAUCAUUUGGAACGCCAAUGGUGAAAACAGCUCGCUGGGGAUGUACUGACGCUGAGACACGAAAGCCAGGGGAGCAAACGGG